rnacentral:rRNA from 1 species
AUUGAACGCUGGCGGCAUGCUUUACACAUGCAAGUCGAACGGUAACAGGCCGCAAGGUGCUGACGAGUGGCGAACGGGGGAGUAAUGUAUCGGAACGUGCCCAGUCGUGGGGGAUAACUACUCGAAAGAGUAGCUAAUACCGCAUACGAUCUAUGGAUGAAAGCGGGGGACCGUAAGGCCUCGCGCGAUUGGAGCUGCCGAUGUCAGAUUAGGUAGUUGGUGGGGUAAAGGCUCACCAAGCCAACGAUCUGUAGCUGGUCUGAGAGGACGACCAGCCACACUGGGACUGAGACACGGCCCAGACUCCUACGGGAGGCAGCAGUGGGGAAUUUUGGACAAUGGGCGCAAGCCUGAUCCAGCAAUGCCGCGUGCAGGAAGAAGGCCUUCGGGUUGUAAACUGCUUUUGUACGGAACGAAACGGCUCUGGUUAAUACCCGGGGCUAAUGACGGUACCGUAAGAAUAAGCACCGGCUAACUACGUG